rnacentral:lncRNA from 1 species
AAGCAGUCCACCUAUGAAGGGUAUUGCUUUCUCCUCCACUUCUGAAAAGUCUGUCCUAGUUUUCUCUUUGCCAGCAUCGCCCUUGAGUUGUACACCUCCCAGCCAGGGAAGAGAUGGAAUCUCACCCUUCAUGAACGAAGGGGUGAGUAACACCUGCCAGGAGCUGCAGAUAGCUCCCUGAAAAAUGAGCUGUUUCCGUGCAGGGAUUGAAGACACCACCCUGAGCCAUGGAGGGCUGGUGAUUUGGUUUCCUGAAACUCGUCAUCCUCAUGACUCUUCCUGCCAAGUGCUGGGAUUAUAGGGUUCCACCACCAAGCCUGGAAAACUGUUGUGUUUUAAGUGAUGAUGUGAACGUGUCACAUCUACGUCCCUGCAGAAGUGGCC